rnacentral:rRNA from 1 species
AUAGCGUAUAUUAAAGUUGUUGUGGUUAAAAAGCUCGUAGUCGAACCUUGGGCCUGGCUGGCCGGUCCCCCUCACCGGGUGCACUGAUCCAGCCGGGCCUUUCCCUCUGUGGAACCCCAUGGCCUUCACUGGCUGUGUGGGGGAAACAGGACUUUUACUGUGAAAAAAUUAGAGUGCUCCAGGCAGGCCUAUGCUCGAAUACAUUAGCAUGGAAUAAUAGAAUAGGACGUGUGGUUCUAUUUUGUUGGUUUCUAGGACCGAAGUAAUGAUUAAUAGGGAUAGUUGGGGGCAUUAGUAUUUAAUUGUCAGAGGUGAAAUUCUUGGAUUUAUUAAAGACUAACUUCUG